GGCACUUUGGCCGAGUGGUCUAAGGCGCCGUGUUCAGGUCUCGGAGCAGCAUCUCCAAUCUGCUCCGCCUACUCGCGGUCUAGUAAUAGGCGAGGGUUCGAAUCCCUCAGGUGUCA